rnacentral:misc_RNA from 1 species
UGUUGCAGGAAAUCCAGCGUGG